rnacentral:rRNA from 1 species
GACGAACGCUGGCGGCGUGCCUAAUACAUGCAAGUAGAACGCUGAAGAGAGGAGCUUGCUCUUCUUGGAUGAGUUGCGAACGGGUGAGUAACGCGUAGGUAACCUGCCUUGUAGCGGGGGAUAACUAUUGGAAACGAUAGCUAAUACCGCAUAACAAUGGAUGACACAUGUCAUUUAUUUGAAAGGGGCAAUUGCUCCACUACAAGAUGGACCUGCGUUGUAUUAGCUAGUAGGUGAGGUAACGGCUCACCUAGGCGACGAUACAUAGCCGACCUGAGAGGGUGAUCGGCCACACUGGGACUGAGACACGGCCCAGGCUCCUACGGGAGGCAGCAGUAGGGAAUCUUCGGCAAUGGGGGCAACCCUGACCGAGCAACGCCGCGUGAGUGAAGAAGGUUUUCGGGUUGUAAAAUUCUGUUGUAAGGGAAGAACGACUUUAGUAGGAAAUGGCUAGAGUGUGACGGUACCUUAUGAGAAAGCCACGGCUAACUACGUGCCAGCAGCCGCUGUAAUAC